rnacentral:rRNA from 1 species
GCGAACGCUGGCGGCAGGCCUAACCCAUGCAAGUCGAACGAACCUUUCGGGGUUAGUGGCGGACGGGUGAGUAACACGUGGGAACGUGCCUUUAGGUUCGGAAUAACUCAGGGAAACUUGUGCUAAUACCGAAUGUGCCCUUCGGGGGAAAGAUUAAUCGCCUUUAGAGCGGCCCGCGUCUGAUUAGCUAGUUGGUUGAGGUAAUGGCUCACCAAGGCGACGAUCAGUAGCUGGUCUGAGAGGAUGAUCAGCCACAUUGGGACUGAGACACGGCCCAAACUCCUACGGGAGGCAGCAGUGGGGAAUCUUGCGCAAUGGGCGAAAGCCUGACGCAGCCAUGCCGCGUGAAUGAUGAAGGUCUUAGGAUUGUAAAAUUCUUUCACCGGGGACGAUAAUGACGGUACCCGGAGAAGAAGCCCCGGCUAUCUUCGUG